rnacentral:rRNA from 1 species
UACGGAGGGUGCGAGCGUUAUCCGGAAUUACUGGGUUUAAAGGGUGCGUAGGCGGCUAUGUAAGUCAGGAGUGAAAGUUUGCGGCUCAACCGUAAAAUUGCUUUUGAUACUGCAUAGCUGGAAUUAGGAUGAGGUCAGCGGAAUGUGGCAUGUAGCGGUGAAAUGCAUAGAUAUGCCAUAGAACACCAAUUGCGAAGGCAGCUGACUAGACCUGGAUUGACGCUGAGGCACGAAAGCGUGGGGAGCGAACAGG